UUAAUUUGUGAAACUUGCCGAAAUGGCUCUUUGAGUGGUAAAGGUUGCCGACCCCUGCACUAGGUAUUUAUGUCAAUGGGUAGUUCUAAAGUCACACAUAUAAAGGGACACACAAUGACUUGAGUGUGAGGUAUUUGCGAGCGGCAAUAAUCAAGAUAAGCCAGCGAAGGAGCAGUGACCAUGGAAACCGGAGUCAGAUGGGAGCAAGACACCCCAACCCCCUCUUUGGAACAGUUUUUCAGUCCUUGGGAAGGAGAAGACUGACAUUUUGCGAUGAGCCAGAGGAAGCAAGAUGUCUCCUUUCCCUGCGUGUAGCCUUUAGAGAAUUUAUUCAAUGAGCCAGACGUGGCGUCAUCAAAGUCCAAGCAAAACGAGGACCCUGGGCGGAACUAACGGACCUCAGACUGUUUCCUGCCCACUUGCAAGGAACCAUUUGAGGGGUCCCAGGCGUCAUCAUCAUUCCUGACGGGGCCCUCAUCUAAACACAAGUGGUCAACAUCAAGCUGAUGGAGUCUAGAAUUAUACCUGCAUGGUCCUACCAUUUGCUGAGGGUGUGGUCCUAGGACGUUUUGCACGGGCCAUUGAUGCGGCAGUUGCUGUUGUUUAAAGGGGAUAUUAAAUGUUACACACAUUUACUGUAAACAUAAUGACACGAGAGGGUUCCUGGUUCGAUUCCGGCUUCCGCCAUCCUUGUCAGUGGCCUUGUGUCCUUGGCCAAGACAUCCACACUGGUUUACAUGUUGCUUAAAAAUGUAGAUAAAUAGUAGAUAUGUAAAGUCUCCAAAGAAAAAGUGCUAUAUAAAUAUACAGAAACAAAAAUCAUGUGCCUUAUUAAUUUUCUUCUGAUUCCCAAUGUCAUGCUCUUUGCGAUAUUAUUUGGGACUAAAAAAAGAAAUCCCAUU